rnacentral:misc_RNA from 1 species
GUUCAAUUAAAAUUAAUCAUAGCAAAAUAAAUAAAUUUAAAUUACCCAUAAAUUUAUUUAUUUAUUUUUCCAUAUAAUUGCUUGCUUCUAAUAUGAAAAUAAACUUUAGGUAUAUAUAUAUUGCAAUUAUAUUGAUGAUCUAGAAUGUUCUAAUCCAAUAGUGAGGCUUGCCGUCCAAAUAGAAGCAUAAUAGUAAUCUCACCAACCGUAGAGUUUGAAGUCAAAAACCGAAGACUUCCAUAGAAUUCUACAAAAUGGCUACUUCUACAGAUGGAUUUAUUCUUUAGUUGAAGUGGAAAACACUCACACAUUGUAUUCCUUUGUGCAAGUCUAUUUUGAUUCAUGGAUCUUCAUCUUCCCACUUGGGAAAUUUUGACCUUAAGAUCACCAAUAAACUGCUUGACAUUUUUUUCUGACGAUCCAACGCUGGAUACUGCAUUCUCUACCUUCUCUUUAAUUUUCUCCAUAUUCUUUCUCAAGUCAUUGGCUGAUUUUCCACUCAUCAAACGGUUGAUCUUUUCUGCGAUUUCAUCUCUUCUGAUUGGCUUCCUAUCACAAAGAUUGAGCCCAAUCUUCCAAUCAUCAACCACUAACUUUCUAUUAGUAAUUUGAUCAGUAAACAGAGGAUAACACAAAAUUGGGACGUUAAACCAUAUAGACUCCAAUAUAGAGUUCCACCCACAAUGUGUUAGAAAACCUCCAACCUUUGGAUGUGAAAUAACUGAAAUUUGGCAGCACCAUGGCACAACCAAUCCCCUAUCUUUGAUCUCAUCUUCAAAUCCAACGGGUAGAAAAUGAGUAUCAUCAGAACCUAAAAUACCUGGACGAAGUACCCAAAUAAAACUCACUUCACUAAGCAAGAGCCCAUGGGCUAAUUCUGCAAGAUCCUCCUUGCUGCAAAAGGCAAGGGAGCCAAAUGAGACAUACAAAACUGAACCACGAGGCUUGGAUUGGAGCCACUGGGUGCAGUCUGAGUGAGACCACAGGCUAGUAGCCACAGUGGUCUUCGUGAACCCAUUCAGGAGGAAGGUUGGUCCGAUAGGAUAGAAUGGUUGUUUCUCUUGAAGGGCUGAGAUGGUUUUGGGUUCAAGUUCUUGUACUGUGUUGCAAAGAACAAAAUCUGCUUCUUUCACAUCCUCAAAUAUUGCCUUGUAGAUCAUCCUCACCGCCACACCUAUUGUAUUUGGAGCUUGAAGAUAUGAGGGUAAGUCCUUGGGCUCUAUACUAUCCACUCCUGGUAUAUAAUCUAUGGCGUCCUCUCGAUUAUCAUGGGAAGCAUAAUGAAGGUCCAAGUGAUAGUAGAUAGUGAAAACCAUAGCUGGUUCAGUCCAAAAUGAAACAUUAACAAGAUUAUACUUGUUAGCAAUCAUUGAUGGCCACACAAAGAAACUGUCCGCGAUUAAGCAAGUGACUUGUGGAUUUUUGAGCACUAACUUUCCAACAAAAUUAUCAACAUGAGCUGGGAAGACAUGUAUAAGGCCCUCCAUGUAUUGCUCUGAGUUGAGAAAUCUGUCAAACCCUAAAGGAAAUCCAUCAUUUAUGGUUGCAUAGUGUAUGUCAAGGCCAGAUUUACGAGCUUCAGUGAAGAUAUCGUCUUGGGUGGUAUUGGUAGGAGCAGAUUUCGUGAUCUGAAGGUGGAUUUUUUCUGUGUUGAUGAAGGUAAUGGUGAAGCCAUUGGAUGCUAGCUUUAUUGCAAGAUGAACAAAAGGGACGACAUGUCCUUGGAGAGGGCAGGGUACCAUGAUUGCAUGAGGCUUGUCUUGUGUAUCCUCCAUCUCCGAGCCUGUGU